rnacentral:misc_RNA from 1 species
GAAAUGCGAUAAGUAAUGUGAAUUGCAGAAUUCAGUGAAUCAUCGAAUCUUUGAACGCACAUUGCGCCCGCCAGUAUUCUGGCGGGCAUGCCUGUUCGAGCGUCAUUACAACCCUCAGGCCCCCGGGCCUGGCGUUGGGGAUCGGCGGAAGCCCCCUGCGGGCACAACGCCGUCCCCCAAAUACAGUGGCGGUCCCGCCGCAGCUUCCAUUGCGUAGUAGCUAACACCUCGCAACUGGAGAGCGGCGCGGCCACGCCGUAAAACACCCAACUUCUCAAGGUUGACCUCGAAUCAGGUAGGAAUACCCGCUGAACUUAAGC